UCCUUCGUGGCUCAGAUGGUAAAAGUAUCUGCUUGCAAUGUGGGAGACCCAGGUUCAAUCCCUGGGUAGGGAA
rnacentral:tRNA from 1 species